UUGUUAGACUCCUACAUCAGUACCACCAACAAAUCCAGAGUCGGAAGGGAAUGGCGCAGAUGGGAAAGAGCGAGCUAGCUUCAGCCAAAAAACCCAAGGGAGCUGCAGGAAAUACAGGUUUGGUUAGUGGCAAGGCUGGGGAGAGUGGAAAAGCAACUUCUGGUUCUGGAAUGAUGGAGUUUCACAAAGGCUCUCCACAUGGUUUUAGAUAGCCCGAUUAAUAAAGCUGGGAAGUUGCAAUGUGUGUAUAUGAAGACCGAGGAUGGUAAACUUAUUGAGAUUAAACCAUAUGUUCGUAUCCCAAGGACGUUUAAGCUAUUCUCUGGUGUCAUGUGACUCUCAUACAGUUCAGAGAAACUAGUUAGCAUUCAAAAAUAUGUUGUUGCUGCUGAAAACAAUAUGGACCUUGUUUUUGUGGAGUAUGGUGCAUACAAGAAGGGAAGCUUUGACAAGAUGCUUGCAGAUG
rnacentral:lncRNA from 1 species